rnacentral:rRNA from 1 species
UACAGAGGUCUCAAGCGUUGUUCGGAUUCAUUGGGCGUAAAGGGUGCGUAGGCGGCUGUUCAAGUCGAACGUGAAAACUCGGAGCUCAACUCCGAGCCUGCGUUCGAUACUGGACGGCUAGAGUCUGGUAGGGGGAUCUGGAAUUCCUGGUGUAGCGGUGGAAUGCGCAGAUAUCAGGAGGAACACCGAUGGCGAAGGCAGCUCGCUGGGACGGUACUGACGCUGGAGGCGCGAAAGCGUGGGGAGCAAACAGG